GUGAGCUGAUGGAUGACUGACAUCAGGAAGUGUUCACAACUGGCUGCUUGCAGAAGCCUUUGAGGAGCAAUGGAGCUGUGGUUUCCUUCCUUAUGAAACACCCAGUUUCUAGCAGCUGGACCUGGCUGCUGAACUGGAGACUUAGAAGAACAGGAGCAGAAAGGGUGAAGACCUACCUGGUAACAGCUUGUCCUGCUUCCCCAGUAGAUCAUCCUCUUGUUUUGGCAAUUGAUGGAGAUAAAGUGUUCCCACAGAGAGCACCCCAUUAGUGAUCCAUGGCAUGGACCUCAACUCCAAAGCUUUGCUGACCCAACAUGGGAACACAGCACAGGACUGCACUGAAGCAGGAGAGGUUUCCCUGCCUUUCGAGUCCCAGCCACCUCCAUCCACAUCCUCUGGCUCCUUGGAGACUGAACCUUGCAGUUUGAACCUGCUACAGUCACUGCUAAAGGGCUGGCUGGACCCAGCAGCUGCAGGACAUUAG
rnacentral:lncRNA from 14 species